CACCGCGGUUAUACGAGAGGCCCUAGUUGAUAAGCAUCGGCGUAAAGAGUGGUUAAGAAAAUAAUUUAAUAAAGCCGAACACCUCCUCAGUUGUUAUACACAUUUGAAGGCCUGAAGCCCCCUUGCGAAAGCAGCUUUAAAUACUCCGAACCCACGACAACUAUGACA
rnacentral:rRNA from 1 species